UUCCUCUGCGACCUCCCUCUCUCUGUGAGGCUUCCCUCUUUCUACGAGGCUCCCCUCUUGGCUUGUCCUCUUCUCUCCUCUGCUAUGUGAAGACCCAUUUUUUCUAGUUCGUCCCCUCCUCUCUCUGCGAAGCCCGAUCGCGGUCAUCUCCGUCGUUCUCUCCUCUCUCUGAGAAGCUCUGGUUCUGCCACAGACGCCACACACUCCUCCUCUGUUUAGGGCAUCAAUCGGCAGUUAAACGGAUCCUGCCUUUUCCCCCUCCUGUGUUGACUCAACCAAGGGAGCAUGGAAAUGUUCAUUUUCAGACUCUUUGCUGAGAGUCUUCGCAAUCUUGCACGUUUGGAUGUGGUAGACAUGUGUACAAAUACACAGCUAUUUGGUGGGAAUGCUCUAAAACUGCCAUCUGGGGCUAAUUUUUAUGGUGAAAUCAACAUCUUGCUUGUUGGUGAUCCUGGUACUAGUAAAUCUCAACUUUUCCAAUACAUACACAAAUUACAUCCACGAGGAAUUUACAGUAGUGGGAGGGGGAGCUCAGCUGUGGGUCUGACUGCACAUGUCUCCAAGGAACCAGAAACUAGAGAAACAGUGCUGGAAAGUGGAGCUUAUGUUCGAGCAAUAAAGGCAUUCGUUGUAUUGAUGAGUUUGAUAAGAUAUCUAAUAGCGCAAGAAGCAUGAUGCAUGAGGUCAACCUCUAGCUUAGCUGUCCAAGGUUCUCUAGUUGUUAUGACUUGCAACAGUUUUAUUAUUACAUUUUCUCUAUUUUUUUUCAAUGGUGCUCGUUGUCGCUGAUCCCAUAUUUUUGUCAUGUUUAUUUAUUUGAGCGUAUUUUUGCUUUGAAUUCAAACACUUAAAGAGUUCUCAAGUAAAUAUGAGGAGAGAAAAGGCAAAUAAAUUGUGCAGAUAAAUAGGCAUGACUAAUCCAGUUGAGUGUUUUGAUCACAUAUAAAAAUUGCAGAAAAGUGCAGGGCCCUUCUAAGGUUUUCAUCUUAUGUAUUGCAUGCCUUGUUCUCAUCAGGUUCUUAUUCUCUUUAGUACUGGUAUAUGAGAAAAUUUUGGACUCUCUGAGUCUUUGAGCAAUUGAAUAAGGUGCGGGUGCUGGAAAGUGGAGCUUAUGUUUGAGCAAUAAAGGAAUUUGUUGUAUUGAUGAGUUUGAUAAGAUAUCUAAUAGCGCAAGAAGCAUGAUGCAUGAGGUCAACCUCUAGCUUAGCUGUCCAAGGUGCAGGUGCUGGAAAGUGGAGCUUAUGUUUGAGCAAUAAAGGCAUUCGUUGUAUUGAUGAGUUUGAUAAGAUAUCUAAUAGCGCAAGAAGCAUGAUGCAUGAGGUCAACCUCUAACUUAGCUGUCCAAGGUUCUCUAAUUGUUUUGACUUGCAACAGUUUUAUUAUUACAUUUUCUCCUCUAUUUUUUUUCAAUGGUGCUCGCUGUCACUGAUCCCAUAUUUUUGUCAUGUUUAUUUAUUUGAGCGUAUUUUUUGCUUUGAAUUCAAACACUUAAAGAGUUCUCAAGUAAAUAUGAGGAGAGAAAAGGCAACUAAAUUGUGUAGAUAAAUAGGCAUGACUAAUCCAGUUGAGUGUUUUGAUCGCAUAAAAAAUUGCAGAAAAGUGCAGGGCCCUUCUGAGGUUUUCAUCUUAUGUAUUGCAUGCCUUGAGAGAGUUUUUUGAGCAAUUGAAUAAUCUGCAAGCAUUUGCAUUUCGUUGAUAAUGUGCAGGUGCUGGAAAGUGGAGCUUAUGUUUUAGCAAUGAAGUCAUUUGUUGUAUUGAUGGGUUUGAUAAGAUAUUUUAUAGCGCAAGAAGCAUGUUUCAUGAGGUCAACCUCUAGCUUAGCUGACCAAGCUUUCAUAAUUGUUGUGACUUGCGACUGUUUUAUUAUUUCAUUUUCUCUUCUUAUUUUUUUCAAUGAUGCUCGGUGUCGCUGAUCCCAUAUUUUUGUUGUAUUUAUUAAUUUGAACGUUUUUCUUUUAUGAAUUCAAACACUUAAAGAGUUCUCAAGUAAGUGAGUAGAGAAAAGGUAACUAAAUUGUGCAGAUAAAUAGGCAUGACUGAUAUUGGUCUACAAAUAUCCAGACCCAAUUGCAAGAUGGUCUAGACUUGCCCACUUUGAUAGCUUAUGUUAGCUAUUCUAGAAGGCACAUACAUCCCCAGAUUACUGAUUAAGCUAUUGAUGAUUUGAUAAUGGGCUAUGUUGACAUGAGGAGAAGGCGUAACUUCUGGUGAUAACCGUUACUCUUAGGCAAAUAGGAGUGUGAUUCGUUUUAGUGAAGCCUUGGGUCGGAUCCGUAUCUCUGAGCAGGUAGGCACAGACAUGCCUUUGCUGCAUCAUUCGAAUGGAAGAGUGAAACUUGAUGAAGCAGAAAGAAAUAAAUUACUUGGUGGUUGAGUCAGCUCAAUUGGGUUACCUUUUUUGAAGCUUCAUUUGUAUCGGGUUUUUCAUAUUUCAUGAGGUGUUUAACCUCCAAUGGUUUGUAAAUGAUUGUAAUUGGUCGUUGUUUAAUUAAUGGUAAUCUUUUGUGGAUGAAGUUCUCUA